rnacentral:rRNA from 1 species
CCUACGGGGGGCAGCAGUGGGGGAUAUUGCACAAUGGGGGGAACCCUGAUGCAGCGACGCCGCGUGGGUGAAGAAGCGCCUCGGCGCGUAAAGCCCUGUCAGCAGGGAAGAAAAUGACGGUACCUGAAGAAUAAGUCCCGGCUAACUACGUGCCAGCAGCCGCGGUAAUACGUAGGGGGCAAGCGUUACUCGGCUUUACUGGGUGUAAAGAGGGCGCAGACGGCGAUGCAAGUCAGGAGUGAAAGCCCGUGGCCCAACCACGGGACUGCUCUUGGAACUGCGUGGCUAGAGUGCAGGAGGGGCAGGCGGAAUUCUUGGUGUAGCGGUGAAAUCCGUAGAUAUCAGGAGGAACACCGGUGGCGAAGGCGACCUGCUGGACUGCAACUGACGUUGAGGCCCGAAAGCGUGGGGAGCAAACAGGAUUAGAUACCCUUGUAGUC